AUGGCUACAAUGAAGCACUUUGGAUUUGAGCUUCUCUUUGAGAAAGAGCAGUAUUUCUACAGAAGAGAUACCUGGUGGACCGAUGAAGCUCCAAGGAGGUCUUUAUGGGUUCUUGCCUUGCUGUUCAUCCUCUGGGAUUUGAAAACUGCUCUUAGUCUCUGGACAGAGUCUACUUGUCUUGCCUGGUUUGAAUCCACGGAUCAUCUGCAGAACACAGGGGUUUCAGCUAAGAACCCAGAAGGGUAGAGAGAAAAUUAUUCUCCCUCCCCUACCUCACCAUGAAGAAAGACGUUUUCAAUUUCUUCAAUAACUUUGCACCAAUUCCUUUUAGGUGCUUCUUAUAAUGAUACAGCCCACUGUAAUAUCGCUCUUUACACAGUUUUGCUGCAAAUAUGUAAAUAGCCUAACACAGUUCUUGGCACAAAAGUAGGUGUACAAUACAAUUAGUCUGUUAUUAUUAUUUUAAUGUUACCAUUUCUUUAAAGCCACUCUAAGGUAGUAACAUAUGCACACUUAUCUUGUAGACAGUAACUGCAAGAUUUGUAAUUGCAUGAUUUGGG
rnacentral:lncRNA from 1 species